rnacentral:rRNA from 1 species
GACGAACGCUGGCGGCGUGCUUAACACAUGCAAGUCGAACGGAAAGGCCCUGCUUUUGUGGGCUGCGCGAGGUGCGAACGGGUGAGUAACACGUAAGUAACCUGCCCUUGACUUUGGGAUAACUUAAGGAAACUUGGUCUAAUCCCGGAUAGGAUUUCCCGCUGCAUGGUGGGGGUUGGAAAGUUUCGGCGGUUGGGGAUGGACUCGCGGCUUAUCAGCUUGUUGGUGGGGUAGUGGAUUACCAAGGCAUUGACCGGUAGCAGGCCUGAGAGGGUGGCCGGCCACGUUGGGAUUGGGCUGCGGCCCAGACUCCUACGGGAGGCAGCAGUGGGGAAUAGUGCACAAUGGGAGGAAGCCUGAUGCAGCAACGCCGCGUGCGGGAUGAGGGCCUUCGGGUUGUAAACCACUUUCGCCUGUGCCGAAGCGUGAGUGACGGUAAUGGGUAAAGAAGCACCGGCUAACUACGUG